rnacentral:rRNA from 1 species
CCGGCGCACGGGUGAGUAACGCGUAUGCAACUCACCUAUCAGAGGGGAUAACCCGGCGAAAGUCGGACUAAUACCGCAUGAAGCAGGGGCCCCGCAUGGGGAUAUUUGCUAAAGAUUCAUCGCUGAUAGAUAGGCAUGCGUUCCAUUAGGCAGUUGGCGGGGUAACGGCCCACCAAACCGACGAUGGAUAGGGGUUCUGAGAGGAAGGUCCCCCACAUUGGUACUGAGACACGGACCAA